GACGAACCGUGCGAACGUUGUUCGGAAUCACUGGGCUUAAAGGGCGCGUAGGCGGCCGGGUUGGUCGUGGGUGAAAUCCCCCAGCUUAACUGGGGAAUUGCCUACGAUACUGCCUGGCUCGAGGGAGGAAGGGGCGGCCGGAACUGUCGGUGGAGCGGUGAAAUGCGUAGAUAUCGCUUGGAACGCCGAAGGUGAAAACAGGUCGCUGGGGGAUGUGCCGACGCUGAGACACGAAAGCCAGGGGAGCAAACGGG
rnacentral:rRNA from 1 species